GAUGAACGCUGGCGGCGUGCCUAAUACAUGCAAGUCGAGCGAACAGACGAGGAGCUUGCUCCUCUGACGUUAGCGGCGGACGGGUGAGUAACACGUGGAUAACCUACCUAUAAGACUGGGAUAACUUCGGGAAACCGGAGCUAAUACCGGAUAAUAUAUUGAACCGCAUGGUUCAAUAGUGAAAGACGGUUUUGCUGUCACUUAUAGAUGGAUCCGCGCCGCAUUAGCUAGUUGGUAAGGUAACGGCUUACCAAGGCAACGAUGCGUAGCCGACCUGAGAGGGUGAUCGGCCACACUGGAACUGAGUCACGGUCCAGACUCCUACGGGAGGCAGCAGUAGGGAAUCUUCCGCAAUGGGCGAAAGCUUGACGGAGCAACGCCGCGUGAGUGAUGAAGGUCUUCGGAUCGUAAAACUCUGUUAUUAGGGAAGAACAAAUGUGUAAGUAACUAUGCACGUCUUGACGGUACCUAAUCAGAAAGCCACGGCUAACUACGUG
rnacentral:rRNA from 1 species